rnacentral:lncRNA from 1 species
AACCACAGCAGAAGGUCUGACCAAUCAGAAUGAGGUGGAGGUGCAGCGUCGCUGUGAGGAACGGAGCAGGAGAACGGACACAUAGCAAGAGAUUCUGGAGACCAAGAUCCAGCUUCUGCAGGAGGAGGCUCAACUGGCAAGAAGUGAAGCAGAAAAAAUGGCUUCUUUGGCAGAUUCAGAGUCCCAGCGCUGUUUGGCCCUUGAAAGGAGGAUGAUGAUGGAAAUGCAGGGGGGAAAUGAAAGCUUAUCUGUCAUGGCACAACAUGAAGAGAUGGCUAAGAAAGACAGGUUGAUAGAGGAACUGAAUGAAACUCUAUGCAGGAGAGAGCAAGAAGCAGCUGAUCUGAGUGCACAGAGGGAUGCCGUUACUGUAAAACUAAAUCAGCUGGAAGAGCAAGUGCAGAACCUCAACAUUUCCCUCCAGCAGAAAGAGAAAGAUGAACAGACCCUCAGAGAAGAACUGGCUCAAGGAAAAAGCAAUACAGAGCAGGAGAUGCAAGUAAGACUUAUUUUUUCUAUUUAUAUGUUCUCUCAAGUUAUUUUUUUUAAGUAUAUGCAUGUAAUCUACACGGAAUUACUAUUAUUGUUUAGGAUAUGUUCUUAAUAUAAUAUAUUUAUAUUUUUGGGGAAAUGGCUAUAAUUUAGCUUAAGAAGCAUCACCAGUGUGCUGAGAGCGACAUCUAGCGACAGUGUACAGUCAUAGCAAGCUGAGAGUGUACUGUACAUCAGCAAACACCCUGACAAUUAUUUUAAAAAUUAAAUAGUAUCUUCGUUGUAUUUUAAAGAACCUGUCAUUCAUCAUCCGACACUUAAUAUAAGCGUUCUUUCUAUUUUUAAUAUUUUCAUGUAUUAUACUUUCUGUGGUGCUCUUUUCAAAAAAAUAAAAAUUGUCAUGCCAUUGAAAAAUGGGAGUAAAGAGAUAUGUAGUAUUCACUUUCUUGUUUGAAUUGGGUUUAGGCUUAUAAAUAAACAAUCUAUUACAUCACACUGUACACAGAAAAGCAAUGAAAUCUCACAUUAAUUUUACUUUCUCUCAACCCCUUUCUAUCACUAUCACUGGUUGACAUAAACAAUGAGAUAAUGCUACAUUUGCCUGAUUAGGAGACAUUUGAAUGUAAAAUCCACAUAGAGACACAGAUAACUGUUAAGAGAUUGAUCCAUCUAUCCGCACAAGUAUUACUGUGUGGAUGUUGAUGGCAAAUCUGAUUGUUUAAAUCUUUGUAAAAAUUAACAAUUGACAUUUUAGUCAAUUUACAAGCAGGACCCAUUACAAUUGCACAUUUAUUAUAAUGUAUAUAAAGAAACAACCAUUCACACAAAUUCAGGAAUGUAACCACGAAUAUUUAGAUCCUGACCUGGAAUGCUUUUUACAUCUGGGCUCCCCCAGUCUUGAAUAUGGGUACAUCCCUAAAUAAAUUAUUAUUAUAGAUAGAUAGAUAGAUAGACUAUACCUAUACACCAAAACACACACAUCCACAUAUUUAUAAGCAUAUCUUCACAUUUUCUUCGAACCACACGUGCAGUUACUCUUUCGUAUAUUUAUGGGAACCUAUUCCAAGCAACAGAGCCAUGAUAAAACAGCCUUUUUCAUCAAAUUUGUUUGUGGACGUUGACCAUAUCAUUGGUCAGUACUCAAGAUGCUUUAAAAUUAAUGACUGCACCACAUCUUUUAAACAGCUAUAGGCCUACGUCUUUUCCAAUAAUGCAACAAUAGAUAGAUAGAUAGAUAGAUAGAUAGAUAGAUAGAUAGAUAGAUAGAUAGAUAGAUAGAUAGAUAGAUAGAUAGAUAGAUAGAUAUUAUGAAACCAGUACGUCGGAAAAACAAAAUCACUUUCUCAGUUGCAUUUUUUUUUGUCGAAAAUGAAAAUGAGUAUGUAAAGUAGUGUCAUCAUUUGCUUGGCUUGUUCUCUAAGUGCGACCGGUACCACUGCAUACACCGAGGGGUGCUCGAAGAAUUUACAAAAACACUGUUGACAAACAAUGGACGAUAAAACGUCAGUUUAUUAAGUGGUUUAAUUAUAAGUGCUUGUUAAGAAGAUAGCAACCGUUAAUACUUUUUAAAUAAGUAAGAUAAAUUGUAGAAACGCAUGCUUUCGACCCCCUUUUUGUUCAGGAAAUGGUACGCGCCAUUUUCCCCUGUCUCACUGUUGCCACAUCGUUUGCUGCUCCGCUGUCUGUAUGUCGGAAGCCGUAUUAUACACAAAAUACCGGCAACCUUUAGUGUUACCGUUCUGGGACAGAUUAUGAUAUUAUUUCCGUCUACAUUUCGGCUAAUGGUGGUUAUUUAAAAUUGACACGUUUUUAAACCGGAGUCGGGCGAUGGGGGAUGAUGUCCUGUGACUGUCAUGUCGGCGUCUUCACAGAAGAGCGAAUGAAACAUAAUCUGGAGCGCGAGAGUGAAAGACAAACCAUGCAUCUUUAUUUCUGUUGACGAGGACGAGCAUCUCGACAUCGAAAUCAAACCCGAGAUUUAUUUUUUAGCGAUAUAUCUAUUUAAAGAACGAUCUGAAGGGCACAAAUAAGGAAAUAAAAUAGUACUUUAAGACUUAGUGCAUUGACAGGAAUUCAUCUCAUCUAUGAUAAAAAGUGACAUGAAGUUGUUAUAAUAUCUAAUUAUAUUUUUAAAUAUAGAUACUGGAGAAGAAUAGAAAUUUAGGAACUUUUUAUGCAAUGAAAUUUUCACUUUGGCUCUUGCCACAAACUAUAGAUUAUAUAGAU